ACCUGACUGCUAUCGGAUUGAUACUAAGCCAUGCGAGUCAUUGUAGCAAUACAAGGCAUACGGCUCAGUAACGCGUAGUCAACCUAACCUAUGGACGGGAAUAACCUCGGGAAACUGAGAAUAAUGCCCGAUAGAACACUAUACCUGGAAUGGUUUGUGUUCCAAAUGAUUUAUCGCCAUAGGAUGGGACUACGGCCUAUCAGUUUGUUGGUGAGGUAAUGGCCCACCAAGACUAUUACAGGUACGGGCUCUGAGAGGAGUAGCCCGGAGAUGGGUACUGAGACACGGACCCAGGCCCUAUGGGGCGCAGCAGGCGAGAAAACUUUGCAAUGUGCGAAAGCACGACAAGGUUAAUCCGAGUGAUUUGUGCUAAACGAAUCUUUUGUUAGUCCUAGAAACACUAACGAAUAAGGGGUGGGCAAGUUCUGGUGUCAGCCGCCGCGGUAAAACCAGCACCUCAAGUGGUCAGGAUGAUUAUUGGGCCUAAAGCAUCCGUAGCCGGCUCUGUAAGUUUUCGGUUAAAUCUGUACGCUUAACGUACAGGCUGCCGGGAAUACUGCAGAGCUAGGGAGUGGGAGAGGUAGACGGUACUCGGUAGGAAGUGGUAAAAUGCUUUGAUCUAUCGAUGACCACCUGUGGCGAAGGCGGUCUACCAGAACACGUCCGACGGUGAGGGAUGAAAGCUGGGGGAGCAAACCGGAUUAGAUACCCGGGUAGUCCCAGCUGUAAACUAUGCAAACUCAGUGAUGCAUUGGCUUGUGGCCAAUGCAGUGCUGCAGGGAAGCCGUUAAGUUUGCCGCCUGGGAAGUACGUACGCAAGUAUGAAACUUAAAGGAAUUGGCGGGGGAGCACCACAAGGGGUGAAGCCUGCGGUUCAAUUGGAGUCAACGCCGGG
rnacentral:rRNA from 1 species